CUCAUAAAGUGCGUCGUAGUCCGGAUUGGAGUCUGCAACUCGACUCCAUGAAGUCGGAAUCGCUAGUAAUCGUGGAUCAGAAUGCCACGGUGAAUACGUUCCCGGGCCUUGUACACACCGCCCGUCACACCAUGGGAGUGGGUUGCAAAAGAAGUAGGUAGCUUAACCUUCGGGAGGGCGCUUACCACUUUGUGAUUCAUGACUGGGGUGAAGUCGUAACAAGGUAACCGUAGGGGAACCUGCGGUUGGAUCACCUCCUUACCUUAAAGAAGC
rnacentral:rRNA from 3 species